GGAUGUGAGGGUGAUCUGGCUUCAACCUCUAUCACCCUGUUGAUCACCAGGGUCGAUUAGGCUCAUCUGGCUGGCUGGGCCAGUGUCCCCCUCCUCCCUCACUAUCCAUGUAUGUCCUUUGUGAAGCUGACUUCUCCAGCAAGGAGGACGACCGCCCCAUUAGAGCAGGACCAUUUCCUUGGGCAGGGGUAUGCCAAUAGCUGCUGGAACUUCCAAACAGGCUCUUAAGGAAUUGGCUCCUGCAACUAUGGAGGCUAAGUCUCUUGCUCUGCAGGCUGAAAGCUUCAGCCCAGGAGA
rnacentral:snRNA from 1 species